AGAGUUUGAUCAUGGCUCAGAAUCAACGCUGGCGGCGCGCUUAACACAUGCAAGUCGAACGAGAAAGGGGAGCAAUCCCUGAGUAAAGUGGCGUACGGGUGAGUAACACGUGGGUAAUCUACCUCUGGGUGGGGAAUAACCCUGGGAAACCGGGGCUAAUACCGCAUAACACUGAAAGGUCAAAGGCGCAAGUCGCCUGGAGAGGAGCCCGCGGCUGAUUAGCUAGUUGGUGAGGUAAAGGCUCACCAAGGCAUUGAUCGGUAGCCGGCCUGAGAGGGCACACGGCCACACUGGCACUGAAACACGGGCCAGACUCCUACGGGAGGCAGCAGUGGGGAAUCUUGCACAAUGGGGGAAACCCUGAUGCAGCGACGCCGCGUGAGCGAUGAAGCCCUUCGGGGUGUAAAGCUCUUUCGGCAGGGACGAUAAUGACGGUACCUGAAGAAGAAGCUGCGGCUAACUACGUGCCAGCAGCCGCGGUAAUAC
rnacentral:rRNA from 1 species